rnacentral:antisense_RNA from 1 species
GGCAAAGUGAGUCACACUGGACAGGAGAGUCUGGAAGAAUGGCAGGCACAGCUUGCAAGCGCAUCUGGAGGUGGCUGGAGAGAAACAUGUACUCAUCCGAAGAGGGGACCCAUGACCGUGGUGUGCCCAGCACAAGAGCUCGCUUGGGAUCUCUGAUAAAGGAAGUCCACCAUGCAGGGUUGAGCUGAACCACAGAAGCCCAGCCUGGGAGCAGGGCUCCAGGACUCCCCAAGGAUCAGAAACCUCAAUGAUAAAUUUCCGACUGGAUGAUACACACUACAUCUGUUCUUCAGCGAUGAUGUAUGGUGUGUCUAACAUCUGCCUAUUAGCAGCUGAAUUCCCUUCUAUGACGUGAUACAUAAUGUAUGGUGUGACACAGCUGGGUAAUAAACAAUGUCAGCUGCGUCCUA